UACGUAGGCAGCAAGCGUUGGUCGGAAUUACUGGGCGUAAAGAGUGUGUAGGCGGUGCUCUAAGUUCGGUGUGAAAUCUCCUGGCUUAACUGGGAGGGUGCGCCGGAAACUGGAGUGCUCGAGCGUGGGAGAGGAAAGCGGAAUUCCUGGUGUAGCGGUGAAAUGCGUAGAUAUCAGGAGGAACACCUGUGGUGUAGACAGCUUUCUGGACCAUAGCUGACGCUGAGACACGAAAGCGUGGGUAGCAAACAGG
rnacentral:rRNA from 1 species